UCACCCUCUGGAAGAGCUCCAGCAGCAUCUUCGAGCCUCAAAUGAGCGGCAAGACGCCCGACAGCCGGUGUUACCCAAACGCCUCAGCCAUUGCAAAAUGAACCUGUGUUUACAGCCGGCUCCUUGCCUGCUCGCACCUUCGCAGCCUUGCAGCCGCUCCUCCAACAUCCCGCCAUGCCCGGGCGGCCCUGGGCAUUUCCGUGUACAGCCAGCGGUCUGGAAAAUGUCACCGGCACUGAACGCUGCCUCUGCAGGGCUGGGAUGUCAGCCUGGAACCCCGUCUGAGCCUUUCACUGCGGGACACCGACUGCCAGCAGCACAGAGCCCUGUCAGGCUGAAACCUGACUGUUGCAACAGUCCUUACUGUUGGAACAAGUGCUUGUCCUAAUUGCAGAGAUGAAAUUAUUUGUUUGGCUUGACGUCGUGACAAGUGCUCAAUCAUCCUCACCAAAGUUUCUGGAUUUGCAUUAGCCAAGUGUGCUAAAGUUUUGUACCCUGCGUUGUAAAGCUGUUUUGCUCGUGCCUGAAAGUACAAAAUUGUGUUAGAUUAUCAGCACAGGAAAUAGGAAUUACUGGAUCAACUGGUAACAUUUUCUUAGCUUUUCCAAGCACUUAAGUUACUCACAGAGAAGAGUUAACUGAUACCUUCAGUCCAACCAAAGACAACAACAGGCUCUGGAUUCCCUUGGUCAGCUCCA